AUUGACCGCUGGCGGCAGGCUUAACACAUGCAAGUCGAGCGGAGAUGAGGUGCUUGCACCUUAUCUUAGCGGCGGACGGGUGAGUAAUGCUUAGGAAUCUGCCUAUUAGUGGGGGACAACAUUCCGAAAGGAAUGCUAAUACCGCAUACGUCCUACGGGAGAAAGCAGGGGAUAUUCGGACCUUGCGCUAAUAGAUGAUCCUAAGACGGAUUAGCUAGUUGGUGGGGUAAAGGCCUACCAAGGCGACGAUCUGUAGCGGUCUGAGAGGAUGAUCCGCCACACUGGGACUGAGACACGGCCCAGACUCCUACGGGAGGCAGCAGUGGGGAAUAUUGGACAAUGGGGGGAACCCUGAUCCAGCCAUGCCGCGUGUGUGAAGAAGGCCUUAUGGUUGUAAAGCACUUUAAGCGAGGAGGAGGCUACUGAGACUAAUACUCUUGGAUAGUGGACGUUACUCGCAGAAUAAGCACCGGCUAACUCUGUGCCAGCCGCCGCAGUAACAC
rnacentral:rRNA from 1 species